rnacentral:rRNA from 1 species
GAGUUUGAUCCUGGCUCAGAUUGAACGCUGGCGGCAUGCUUUACACAUGCAAGUCGAACGGCAGCACAGGGAGCUUGCUCCUGGGUGGCGAGUGGCGAACGGGUGAGUAAUGUAUCGGAACGUGCCUGGUAGUGGGGGAUAACUACUCGAAAGAGUGGCUAAUACCGCAUGAGAUCUUUGGAUGAAAGCGGGGGACCUUCGGGCCUCGUGCUACUGGAGCGGCCGAUAUCAGAUUAGGUUGUUGGUGGGGUAAAGGCCUACCAAGCCUGCGAUCUGUAGCUGGUCUGAGAGGACGACCAGCCACACUGGGACUGAGACACGGCCCAGACUCCUACGGGAGGCAGCAGUGGGGAAUUUUGGACAAUGGGCGCAAGCCUGAUCCAGCAAUGCCGCGUGCAGGACGAAGGCCUUCGGGUUGUAAACUGCUUUUGUACAGAACGAAAAGUCU